rnacentral:tRNA from 1 species
GGCCGCUUGGCCCAAUGGUAAGGCGUCUGACUACGACCGAGCAUGCAAACACGUUCGAUAGUUUAUCAGGAGAUUCUGGGUUCGAGCCCCAGGGUGGUCA